rnacentral:rRNA from 1 species
GACGAACGCUGGCGGCGUGCUUAACACAUGCAAGUCGAACGGAAAGGCCCUGCUUUUGUGGGGUGCUCGAGUGGCGAACGGGUGAGUAACACGUGAGUAACCUGCCCUUGACUUUGGGAUAACUUCAGGAAACUGGGGCUAAUACCGGAUAGGAGCUCCUGCUGCAUGGUGGGGGUUGGAAAGUUUCGGCGGUUGGGGAUGGACUCGCGGCUUAUCAGCUUGUUGGUGGGGUAGUGGCUUACCAAGGCUUUGACGGGUAGCCGGCCUGAGAGGGUGACCGGCCAAAUUGGGACUGAGAUACGGCCCAGACUCCUACGGGAGGCAGCGGUGGGGAAUAUUGCACAAUGGGCGGAAGCAUGAUGCAGCAACGCCGCGUGCGGGAUGACGGCCUUCGGGUUGUAAACCGCUUUCGCCUGUGACGAAGCGUGAGUGACGGUAAUGGGUAAAGAAGCACCGGCUAACUACGUG